rnacentral:rRNA from 1 species
GAUGAACGCUGGCGGCGUGCCUAAUACAUGCAAGUCGAGCGAACGGACGAGAAGCUUGCUUCUCUGAUGUUAGCGGCGGACGGGUGAGUAACACGUGGAUAACCUACCUAUAAGACUGGGAUAACUUCGGGAAACCGGAGCUAAUACCGGAUAAUAUUUUGAACCGCAUGGUUCAAAAGUGAAAGACGGUCUUGCUGUCACUUAUAGAUGGAUCCGCGCUGCAUUAGCUAGUUGGUAAGGUAGCGGCUUACCAAGGCAACGAUGCAUAGCCGACCUGAGAGGGUGAUCGGCCACACUGGAACUGAGACACGGUCCAGACUCCUACGGGAGGCAGCAGUAGGGAAUCUUCCGCAAUGGGCGAAAGCCUGACGGAGCAACGCCACGUGAGUGAUGAAGGUCUUCGGAUCGUAAAACUCUGUUAUUAGGGAAGAACAUAUGUGUAAGUAACUGUGCACAUCUUGACGGUACCUAAUCAGAAAGCCACGGCUAACUACGUG